AAAUGCUUCUCCGAGUUUAGCUAUGAAUACCGUAAAAUUAUGUUAUAUACAGGAAAUAUGCAGGUUUUCGGCCUAAUCUGACGGAACUGAAGAAAGGUUUUCUCGGGGGGAGUGCGUCGGGAGCCGAACAAUUUGUACAGAUCUGGGUCUCUUAGUUUCUUCCCUUACUUAGACAUGGCAGACCUAGGCAGUGCUGGACCCUUCAUUGUAA